UCUAUGAUGGAGUCCCCUAACUCAUUUCUUGCAACAAAACCAAAAAAGCUGCGCUUCAUCUUCUCCUCUUUCUACUUCCUUCUUCCCCUUUUCUCCAUCCUCAUUUUCACCAAACUGCGCUUCAUCUUCAUCUUUCCAUUUUUCACCAAACUGCGCUUCAUCUUCACCGUUUGGGGUCUAAAUAAUCCACAUCUGCUGAUUCAAUGAUCUGUAGCGGCAUCAACGGGUUACCGACGAUUAGUGUGGUGGUGGUGGAAAUGGGUUUCCACACAGACAGCGGUAAGCGGGUUGCAUAUGAUUGGAGUGUCGUGUUCAUAUCUCAGGGUAAAUUUCUUUAUUUGCUGUUAAAUUUGAUAUGAGAAAGAGUUCUUUCUAUGGCUUAUUUUGCAUUCAACUUCUAUUCGUAGUAUUAGGAGGACUCAUGGCUGAAAGUGCAAAGAAAUUGCAGGUAUUUUCCUAAUAAAAAGAAUGGUUAAUCUAUCAUAUAAGGAGUAACAAACGCAGCUCGAUCAUUGAUAGGGCUACAGGAUCAACGAAUUUGACUGACACGAAACCAUAUCUUAUGAAGCUUAGCGAAGAUCAAAUGGGCCAACUUCUCUCUGCCUUUUGGAUUUAGGCCAACCGAAUGUUGAAGCUAUAGCUCAUUCAUUUAUAUUGACACUAAUUGUUUUGCGCAUGAAGAUAGAGUUAUAAGGUUUAAGGAUUGCUAUGGAUUGUAGGCUUGCAGCAGAGUUUGAUGGUUUAUUGUGAGGGUGAGUUGGUGAAGGAAGAGAGAUGGAGAUUGUUGUCAACCUUAGCAAAUCAGGUGUAUAAUUACUACGCAUAAAGUGAUUCUCAUGAAUUCACUGGAUGGUACUGUCGGUCGGUACAUGUCACAGUUAUGCAAUUGGCUCAGGAAAUAAAAGUCUGGUAAGGAUUCUUCCUUUUUUGCUGUAUAAUUGUAAAGUUUUUCGAUCGAGGUAAUUAUUGUAUAGAAUUGCUUACCGUGUUUCUGUUUUUGAAUAGAUGAUCUUCACUUUGAAUUUCGGGCACUGGAGUUGGCUCUGUAAUUGACAUGAAUAUCUUUAGAUACACAUGUAUUAACUGACCAAAACUGUACUAUUUUGGGGUAAUUGUAUGUUUUUAUAUUUCAGAAUUCUGGUUUCACUGCUUCAAGGUAUUGAAUCUAACUCCAUUGCUAUUCCACAUUCAACAACCAAUUAUAACAACAGCAGGAUGCAAAACAGAUCCAAAAUGGAAGUUAUAAUAUAAGCUAAACAGGUAGCCACUUUGUGUAUGAUUGUAUUCAUUUAUUUGAGAAGCCAAAGUUAUUCUUAUGCACUUUUUAAUUCAGUAGCAGUCUCAUUAUUCCACUUAGCCGUAUCUCUCCUAAACUUUGUUCUAUCUUAUUUUCAUGAUAAACUUUUUGCUCAUGCUUUAGUGGUUAAAUGAUUCUAGCAGCAUUCGUGUUUCGAAUGAACUCGGGGUUUGUAAUCCACAGGCCGCAUGUUUGACAGCGUGCAUUGUUUUGCAAGUACGGUGGCGGUGGCGUAUGGUAACUAUUAAUUCAUUACAAAUGUUCUCCUUUUAAUUUAUGAUUUUGGCACUGCUAGAGGAUGUGAUUGGCAGAAAAUUUGUGCUUACAUCAAUAUGGGAACAUACUAUUUACGUCAAUUAAAGUCGAAGAGUUUUGGCAGAGGGAUGAAAUUCUCAGUUUGGCUGUAAAUAUCACAGGCGGCUCAUAUAAUCACAUUAAAGCUUCAAAUGGUAGAGUUUUUCAGUAUUCAAAAGGAUUCCAAAGUUUGGAACCACGAAAGCUUUUGGAGAUAUUGGUAAAAGUGUGCCACCUACAUUGUUUUAAUAACCUUCCACUGUCCCAA